rnacentral:tRNA from 1 species
GACCUCGUAGCGUAGCUGAUAGAGCGUACGCUUACAAAGCGUAGGCGGCGUCCAUGCAAGAGGGGGGGGGGAUCGAAUCCCACCGAGGCUA